CCUACGGGUGGCAGCAGUGAGGAAUCUUGGUCAAUGGACGAGAGUCUGAACCAGCCAAGUCGCGUGAAGGAUGACUGCCCUAUGGGUUGUACACUUUUUUUAUAAAGGAAUAAAACGAGGCACGUCUGCCUUCUUGCAUUUACUUUAUGUAUAAGGAUCGGCUAACUCCGGUCCAGCCGCCGCGGUAAUACGGAGGGUCCGAGCGUUACCCUGAUUGAGGGGGUUUAACGGGAGCGUAGAUGGGUUGUUAAGUCAGUUGUGAAAGUUUGCGGCUCAACCGUAAAGUUGCACGUGAUACUGGCAGUCUUGAGUACAGAUGAGGUAGGCGGAAUUUGUGGUGUAGCGGUGAAAUGCUUAGAUAUAACGAAGAACCCCGAUUGCGAAGGCAGCUUACUAAACUGUGACUGACAUUGAUGCUCGAAAGUGUGGGUAUCAAACAGGAUUAGAUACCCUAGUAGUC
rnacentral:rRNA from 1 species